rnacentral:rRNA from 1 species
AUAUGGCACAAGGGGGAAAAGCAGGACGCAGAAACGCGGCGAGAGUGAUGAAGGCCUUCGGGUCGUAAAGCAUCUUUGAUCAGGGAGGAAAAUGACAGUACCUGAAAAACAAGCCACGGCUA